AUGAAUGAGAGGUGUUACAAGUUAAACCAGAAGGCUGAGACUGCCGCCAACAAGAUCUGCAAGGUGCUGGCUGUGAACCAGGAAAAUGAGCACCUGAUGGAAGAAUAUGAACUCCUGGCCAGUGAUGUAGAGUGGAACCGGCUCACCAUUCCCUGGAUGGAGGACUGUGUGUCUCAGAAAGCCAUCCAGGAGAUUCAGCAGAAACUGCAGGACUUGUGAGACUAUAGACGUGUGCACAUGUCCCCCACCCCCCAACCCCAAGGUGCAGGAGAAGGGUCUGCUGGAGAUGAACUUCAACACAUUGCAGACUAAGCUGUGACUCAGCAACUGGCCUGCCUUCAUGCCCUCUGAGGGCAGGCUGGUCUCUGACAUAAACAAUGGGUGGCAACAGCUGGAGCAGGCUGAGAAGGGCUGUGAAGAAUGACUGUUGAAUGAAAUCUGUAGGCUGGAACGACGUGAACAUCUGGCAGAGAAGUUCAGGCAGAGGGCCUGGACUGAUGGGAAGGAGGCCAUGCUGAAGCACUGGGACUAUGAGACAGCCACCUUGUCAGACAUCAAAGCUCUGAUCCGAAAACAUUCAGCCUUUGAGAGUGACAUGGCAGCACACCAGGACCAGGUAGAGCAGAUUGCUGCAAUUGCCCAGCAGUUCAACCAGCUGGAUUACUAUGAUUUCCACAAUGUCAACACACGGUGCCAGAAGAUCUGCAACCAGUGGGAUAACCUGGGCUUUCUGACCCACAGUCUCAGGGAAGCCGUGGAGAAAACAAAGACAUCUAGAGAUAGUCGACCAUUUGGAGUAUGCCAAGAGGGCCGCACCCUUCAAAAACUGGAUGGAGAAUGCCAUGAAGGGCCUGCAAGACAUGUUCAUCAUCCAUAUCAUCGAGGAUAUGGAGGGCCUGAUCUUAGCCCAUGACCAGUUCAAGUCCACCCUGCCAGAUGCUGACAGGGAGCGUGAGGCUAUACUGGUCACAGGAGUCCCAAAGGAUCUCCGAGAACAAUCACAUCAAGCUGUUGGGCAGCAACUCCUACACCACCGUUACCCCCCAGAUUAUCAACUCCAAGUGGAAGAUGGUGCAGCAGCUGGUAGGUGUAGCAGCCGGUGCCAAAGCGGGACCAUGCACUCCUGGAGGAAGCCACAAUCCAUGGAGCACCUUCGCUGACAGUUUGCCAGCCAAGCCAACAUGGUGGGGCCCUGGAUCCAGACCAAGAUGGAGGAGAUCGGGUGCAUUUCCAUCGAGAUGAACCGGACUCUGGAAGACCAGCUGAGCCACCUGAAUUAGUAUGAGACCACCAUUGCGGACUACAAACCCAACCUGGACCUGCUGGAGCAGCAGCAUCCAGGAGGCCCAAAUCUUUGACAACAAACACACUAACAAUGGAGCAUAUCCGUGUGGGCUGGGAGCAGCUGCUUACCAUCAUUUCGGAAGUUCCAGGCAUCUUUUUAACGUCUUUGACAAGGACCAUGGCGGCAUACUGGGGCCUGAGGAUUUCAAGGCCUGCUUCAUCAGCCUGGGUUAUGAUGUGAAGAAUGACAGGCAGGGUGCUGCUGAAUUCAACUGGAUCAUGAGUGUGGUCGACCCCAACCACAGUGGCCCCAUGACCUUCCAAGCCUUCAUUGACUUCAUGUGGAGGGAGACCACAGACACAGCUGAUCAGGUCAUCAUUUCCUUCAAGGUCCUGGCAAGGAACAAGGACUUCAUCACUGCUGAGGAAUUGUGGAGAGAGCUGCCUCCACCGGACCAGGCUGAGUACUGGAUUGCCCGCAUGGCACCCUACCAGGGGCCUGAUGCAGCUCCUGGUACCCUUGACUGCGAGUCCUUCUCCACAGUCCUCUAUCAAGAGAGCGACCUGUAAGGCCCUCAGCCACCCUAAACAGAGACUCCCUUGGCCUCCCAGAAGGGUUGAGGAACCCUGCCCCCCACCCUGACUCUAUAUCUAUGCAUCUUUGUGUUCCUUCUAGGGGGUCAGGCAGGGAGGGACUAGGCAUGCCUCUUUCUCAGUCUUGUAGGGAAGGGAGGCUAGGCGAUCAGCACUUCUGGAUAUAGCUGUUUUGGGGGUUCUUAGCCUAUAUGGAGGGAGACAAUGGACCCCCAUGCCCCAGAGAUAACCAGGUCCCCUCUACCCCUGAAGCCCUUUCCUCACAUCCAGAAAGCCCCAUGUGCCUUGUCCAGGAACCACCUGCCCUAAGAAGUCCAGCAGAGGCCACCCAGUUCUCCUGGACCAGAUUCUAGUGGCUCCUCCCACCUCCCUGCUCCUGUGUGAUCACCAGGAGCAGAGGACCUGCCAUAACCCUUCUCUGCCUCAGGAGUGGCACAGAGUCUGAGAUUUUCUAAGGACAAAAACCAACAAAACACAAAGAGUGGAACAGAAAUAAACAAAUCAUUUUUAAAAAAGGAAAAACAACUUUUAAAAACCUAUAAAAAAUUAAAAACUC